rnacentral:rRNA from 1 species
AGAGUUUGAUCAUGGCUCAGAUUGAACGCUGGCGGCAGGCCUAACACAUGCAAGUCGAGCGGUAGAGAGAAGCUUGCUUCUCUUGAGAGCGGCGGACGGGUGAGUAAUACCUAGGAAUCUGCCUGAUAGUGGGGGAUAACGUUCGGAAACGGACGCUAAUACCGCAUACGUCCUACGGGGGAAAGCAGGGGACCUUCGGGCCUUGCGCUAUCAGAUGAGCCUAGGUCGGAUUAGCUAGUUGGUGAGGUAAUGGCUCACCAAGGCUACGAUCCGUAACUGGUCUGAGAGGAUGAUCAGUCACACUGGAACUGAGACACGGUCCAGACUCCUACGGGAGGCAGCAGUGGGGAAUAUUGGACAAUGGGCGAAAGCCUGAUCCAGCCAUGCCGCGUGUGUGAAGAAGGUCUUCGGAUUGUAAAGCACUUUAAGUUGGGAGGAAGGGCAGUAAAUUAAUACUUUGCUGCUUUGACGUUACCGACAGAAUAAGCACCGGCUAACUCUGUGCCAGCAGCCGCGGUAAUACAGAGGGUGCAAGCGUUAAUCGGAAUUACUGGGCGUAAAGCGCGCGUAGGUGGUUUGUUAAGUUGAAUGUGAAAUCCCCGGGCUCAACCUGGGAACUGCAUCCAAAACUGGCAAGCUAGAGUAUGGUAGAGGGUAGUGGAAUUUCCUGUGUAGCGGUGAAAUGCGUAGAUAUAGGAAGGAACACCAGUGGCGAAAGCGACUACCUGGACUGAUACUGACACUGAGUGCGAAAGCGUGGGGAGCAAACAGGAUUAGAUACCCUGGUAGUCCACGCCGUAACGAUGUCAACUAGCCGUUUGGGGAGU